CCUACGCGUGGCAGCAGUGAGGAAUAUUGGUCAAUGGGCGCGAGCCUGAACCAGCCAAGUAGCGUGAAGGAUGACUGCCCUACGGGUUGUAAACUUCUUUUAUAAAGGAGUAAAGUGAGGCUCGUGUGCCUUUUUGUAUGUACUUUAUGAAUAAAGAUCGGCUAACGCCGUGCCAGCAGCCGCGUUAAUACGGAGGAUCAGAGCAUUAUCCGGAUUUAUUGGGUUUAAAGGGAGCGUAGAUGGGUUGUUAAGUCAGUUGUGAAAGUUUGCGGCGCAACCGUAAAAUUGCAAUUGAUACUGGCAGCCUUGAGUACAGUUGAGGUAGGCGGAAUUCGGGGUGUAGCGGUGAAAUGCUUAGAUAUCACGAAGAACUCCGAUUGCGAAGGCAGCCUACUAAACUGCCACUGACAUUGAUGCUCGAAAGUGUGGGUAUCAAACAGGAUUAGAUACCCCAGUAGUC
rnacentral:rRNA from 1 species